GGGCGUAAGCGCGCGCAGGUGGUUUCUUAAGUCUGAUGUGAAAGCCCACGCCUCAACCGUGGAGGGUCAUUGGAAACUGGGAGACUUGAGUGCAGAAGAGGAAAGUGGAAUUCCAUGUGUAGCGGUGAAAUGCGUAGAGAUAUGGAGGAACACCAGUGGCGAAGGCGACUUUCUGGUCUGUAACUGACACUGAGGCGCGAAAGCGUGGGGAGCAAACAGGAUUAGAUACCCUGGUAGUCCACGCCGUAAACGAUGAGUGCUAAGUGUUAGAGGGUUUCCGCCCUU
rnacentral:rRNA from 1 species